UCCGUAGGUGGAUAAUUAAGUCAGAGGUGAAAUCCUGCAGCUCAACUGUAGAAUUGCCUUUGAUACUGGUUAUCUUGAGUCAUUAUGAAGUGGUUAGAAUGUGUAGUGUAGCGGUGAAAUGCAUAGAUAUUACACAGAAUACCGCUUGCGAAGGCAGAUCACUAAUAAUGUACUGACACUGAUGGACGAAAGCGUGGGGAGCGAACAGGAUUAGAUACCCUGGUAGUCC
rnacentral:rRNA from 1 species